GGACGGUUGAAUUAAGCCACAGAAAUAAUAAUGUUGUUUGGUCAUGGACGCACUGGAACGUGAAAAGCCACCAUCGUCAAGAGGACGCCCAUUUCACUUCAUAGUCUGUCAACCGGAACUUGUCUCAUCAGCAUAAAUUACAAAACACAAUCUGAUUGGAUGUUGCUUUCAAAAUCAUUCCAAAUCCAAUUUUAGUGUCCCGUAACGCUAAAAUUGACGGCGGACAGAGAUUAUUGGUAAGUGGUCGAGAUUAGAUAAUAAGAGGAUCAAAGUCGGGGUAUCUGGAUUCUGCAUGCUAGGACCGUUACCAUGGAGAAUAGUGUUCCGGGUUUUCGGAAUAUUACCCCACUAAGGCCAAUACCCACCUACACCCUCACAUCCUACAGACAAACAGACAAUGGACAGCAAAAGCAGCACCAAAGACGGCAAACUGUUCCAGCCGUGGAAAUCAGAAGUCGGGCAUUCCCAGCCGAUAAAACCGGAACCAAGGGUCGUGUUUCCCCACUACAUAAACCCCCACCCUGCGGACAUCCUCAACUACUACAAGGAGCACUGGAAGUUCCUCCAAGCCUCGCUUUCCGUUUGCGGCAACAAAACCAGCAGCGCCAUCUUUGGUGGACCCGGAAUCAUUCCAUUCCAGUCGACCACUUCCGCCCGAGCGCGUACAAAGUUUUCCGUCGUCUGCCUCCAACCUGGUCGACCUUCAAAACACAGUCAUAGCUGGGCGGAAGCUGUUCCCCUGUCCACAGUGCCGUUACACCACGGACAGGCGGAACAACCUCAAGAGACACCUACUAACCAUGCACCAGCAGUCCUCCAAACUUUUGGAAUGCUGCGGGAUUGUGUUUGGUACCAAGGCUUCUUUACGUGAACACUCCAUGAUUUUUCAUUCCCAUGGUUACGUGUGCUUAUAUUGUGGUAGGCGAUUCUGUAGAAAAGCUCUAUUGAAGCGACAUCUGUCGGUUCACAACGGGAAAAAGGACUUCCGGUGUCAUCUGUGCGAUUACGCAACUAGUCACAAAAGUAAUCUGGAGCGACACAGGAAGGUGCACGUGCGACAGACUAACUCGGACAGUUCAAGCGAAACCCGAUCCUCAGCAGACGACAGUUCGUUUACUCCGGAACAGUCAUAUGUCGCCGACUCCUCGUCAGCAGAAACAUCAGAUGAAGAAAUUGAUGUCAGUUCGGACUAAAUUACAGAAAUAAAAUCAAUUUUUUUUAAAUUUUCAAAUCAUUGAUAUCAUAGAUAUAUUUUAUUCAAAUAAUUUAUAUAAGAAUAAGCAAAUUUUUAAUAUUUUUUGUUUUGAAAUGUUAUUUUUUUUUAUUUCAUGUUUACCACACCACUAUGACGUGGUCAAAUGUUUGUAGAUAUUUUUAGUGUCAUAUUUGAAACAUAAUAUAUAUGUAUAUGAAUUCAGUACAAAGUUAAUACAUUCCUUUUUAGAAUCCAAUAAAACUUUUCCUGAUACAUUACAAUCUAUGAUUCCAUCACCUGUCUUUGCCUGGGCUAUAGGCACGUGAGAUUUGGGCAGGGAGAAUGUAUGCUGUGUGUGUGGGAGUGUGUUGGAUGACAGAGAAUCAUGUCUGUGGUUAGUUGUUAAAUACAUUUUUCCUCAUCUUUCUCGUAAUGUCUUGCACUCACGCCAUUUUAGCCGCAAUCCAGCUCUGAGGGCGUUGACCAAAACUAUUUUAUUUUUGAGGAGAGAUACGCAAUAAAAUUUGAAGAAAAAAGUUGAUCUCUUUCUUCUUUCUAC
rnacentral:sRNA from 1 species